GCCCCUGUAGCUCAGAGGAUAGAGCAGCGGUUUCCUAAACCGCGUGUCGGGGGUUCGACUCCCUCCAGGGGCGCCU
rnacentral:tRNA from 1 species